CCUCAAGGACCUGAACUGCCUUGCCAGUUGCUGGGAGAUAGGGUAGCUCAGGGUUCCUAGGGCUCUGCCUUCUUCUCCACCAUGAAGACUGCCCACGUGGGGUGGGGGCUGGACCGGGGAGGGUGUCCGGGUGAGGCCAGGGGCUCCAGGUCGACUCCAGAUACCAUAUGCUACUCUGCCUCUUCUCCAUCUGGCAGAGUCGGCCCUCAAGGAAUUCAUCCUGGGGCCAAGGGCGGCCUUGGCCGUGCCUGUCCUCCAUGGGCCGUCGGCCAGGUACAGGCUCCUCUGGCCAGAGAAGGGUCUUCUGGAGGAGGACCAGGCCCGGGGACACUGGGCACCAGGGAUGCCGAGGUUGGGCAUCUGUGGUUUCCUGACCCCGUUAUCUACCCUUGCGCCCCACGAUUUCACGGGUACACCCUGAUGCUUGCAGCCUGGUGAGGUCCUCAAAAGGGCCAGACCCAGUGUGUCUGGAGUGAGCAAGCACUGAGGACUCAGACACAAGGAGGAGAAGGCGGCGGAGCCGCUGUAGACCCACACCACUAGGGGAGUGUCCCCUGGGGUUGCUUCCCUGUUCGGAGCCUUUGUUUCCUCGUCAGUAGAAUGGGGAUCCUAGGAGGCAGUCACUCCCUAGAUCAUCGUGGGGAUCAAAUGAGGGAUACAUGCUUAGCUCAGUGCUCCGGGCCUUGUAAAUGCUCAGGAGUCGAAGGGUGUUCUGUUAUUAAGUCGUCAUCCCUCGGGCAGUGCCUUCGCCCUCGAAGCAACCUGCCCGGGGACCCUUUGUGAGUCAGCGCUGGCUCACGGCCCCUGCCCUUUCAGAGCCUUGCCUGGGGACCCCAGCCCAGCCCCCUGCUGAAGGCACCUCAUGGAUGUGCUGAUGAGGAAGAAGAGCUAGGGAAGGAGGGUCGUCCCCUCGUGGCAUCCUGAUGGGGGGAGGUGCCCGAGUACCUAGUGUGUCUUGGGCGGAAUGUUCUAGAAGUAUACCGCCAUGAGAAAGACGAACUUGAGUAUGGCCGACAGAAAACCAGGGGUUGCGGAGCACAGAUUGUCGGAAGUCGUGCACGACGCAUCGAGGGGCAGAGCCAGGACCCUCAAGGAUGCCCCAAGCCCGGAGCACCACCCUGCCAGGGACAAUGGGCCCGUCUCCUUUUGUGUUGCUGAGAAUAUAGCAUGGUUCUUCUGAUGGUAAAAGGUGAUCUGUGCUUCUUAUUUAACAAAAAUGCCAAGGAUUUGAUAAAUGACCAAGACACAAGUCAAGAUGCCUAUAAUCCCGUCACGUGGAGACGGGUUUAUUUUGCUGAAAAUACUUUGCAGGCCUGUCACCAGGCAUUUGCACCAAAGGCUGAUAAAAGA